rnacentral:rRNA from 1 species
AUACGGAGGGUGCAAGCGUUAAUCGGAAUUACUGGGCGUAAAGCGCUCGUAGGCGGUUUGUUAAGUCGGAUGUGAAAGCCCCGGGCUCAACCUGGGAACUGCAUUCGAUACUGGCAAACUAGAGUAUAUUAGAGGCAAGUGGAAUUCCGGGUGUAGCGGUGAAAUGCGUAGAUAUCCGGAGGAACAUCAGUGGCGAAGGCGACUUGCUGGACUAAUACUGACGCUGAGGAGCGAAAGCGUGGGGAGCAAACGGAAUUAGAUACCCCAGUAGUCC